rnacentral:lncRNA from 1 species
GCCAACGCCACUUCCGGCCGCCCUCCGAGCAUCGCUCUUCGGCAACCCGAAGCCACAGGAUGGAGGAGGGGGAUCCCAGCAAAGUGGCUAGAAGUGACCCCAGGAUUUUUUUAUUAUCAAGAGAGACUAGAAGAAUCAUGAGACUUUUCCUAGUUGCCUUUCAAGAAUAUGAAGAAAAAAAUGGUUCUCAAAGUGGGUUUGAAUGAGUAUUGUUCCAAUAAAUGAACUUAUAUUCAUAUUUCAUCCCCUGAGUCCUGGUGUUUCAACAUCCAUUAGAACUGAAUAAUCAUACUGCAUAUCAAAGUUUGUGGGAAAUUGCUAAAGUGUAAAAAAUGCUCAUAUUGAAAAAGAAGAAAAGCUGAAAAUUAAUUGUGCUUCCAACUUUAAAAAAGGACAACAAGCUAAUCCUAAAGAAACUAGAAUAAAAGGAAAAAAUAAACAGAAGUUAAAGAGUAAUUUUAAAAAAUACAAUAGAAAUUAUCAACGAAGCCAAAAGUUGAUUCUUUGAAAAGAUUAAUGAAGUAGGCAAACCACUGGUGAGAUGAAUCAAGAAAAAUAGAGAAAAGACUCAAAUAAACAUUAGGAAUGGAAAAU